AACAACUACAACCUCACUCAGCCUCGCCACUUCUGCAAGGGUUGCCGCCGCUACUGGACACGUGGCGGCGCCCUGAGGAACGUCCCCGUCGGUGGAGGCUGCCGGAGGAAUAGCAAAAAGGGCAAAAAUGGUAAUUCAAAAUCUUCUUCUUCUUCGUCCAAACAGUCUUCUCAAACGGUCAACACUCCAAGUUCUAGCUCAGGACAGCUAAGGACAAAUCAUCAGUUCCCCUUUUUACCAACACUUCACAAUCUCACUCAACUCGGAGGUAUUGGUUUGAACUUAGCCGCCACUAAUGGCAACAACCAAGCUCCUCACCAGAUCGGUUCAAGUUUGAUGAACGAUCUAGGGUUUCUUCAUGUCGGAAAUGGACGAAACACUUCAGCUCCGAUAACCGGAAACAUUCAUGACAGCAACAACAACAACAAUGAAAACAACCUAAUGGCCUCCGCUGGAUCGCUGAGUCCAUUCGCUCUCUUCGAUCCAACGACGGGGCUAUACGCUUUCCCUAACGAAGGCAAUAUAGGAAACAACGUCGGAGUUUCUUUUUCCUCUACUUCCAUGGUUGAUUCUAGAGCUUACCAGACCGCUCCGGUGAAGAUGGAAGAACAACCCAAUCUGGUUAACUUGUCUAGACCGGUCUCCGGUUUAACGUCACCGGGAAACCAAACAAAUCAGUACUUUUGGAACAAUUCGGAUUUCUCGGGACCUUCUUCUAACGAUCAUCAUCAGCUCUUGUGAGAUUUUGUGUUUUGUGGGAUCAUUAAUGUAUGUUAUGACGUGGAGGCUGAUUUAAAUGACUAGGAACGGUCAGGAUCAAAUGCAUGCAGAGUACGUGUGCGGGACUAUAUAUGAUCAUGGAGACGUAAUGAGACAACCGAAAAGGUAUCUUGAUUAGAGUGUGUGGAUUCAACAACUUAAGAUCGAUACUUAUUUACAUAUAGAUAUUCAGGUGUGUCAUAUAAUUUGUUUUGUAUUGUGUGGUUUCAUGGUUAUCUGAUUCUCAAAUUGCUAUACCUCGAUGAAUUUGUGUCGUUUGUCGGUUUGUGUAACAGUCCAACUUAUAUAUUCUUAAUUUUAACUAGAUCUCAUUGAAUGUAUAAUAUUUUUCAGCUAGUUCUACUAGUACUCAGUUUUCGUUGAAAUUCAAUUCGUUAUAGGUUUGCCUGACCAAAAUCGAGUAGUGAACAUUACUAACGAUCUAUCAUUUCUUGAUUAUUAAUAAAAAAUUAUAAUAUAUAAAAAGCUAAGGAUAAUUCAUAAAGUAAAAAUGGGCGUUGCUGACUAAGGAACAGGAACUUGAUCAUACAAAUCCGUGUCUCUCUGGAUGUUAUGUUUUAAAUUUCCCAAAAUACUAUUUUUUUCUCAUAUUUUUAGGAACUUCUUUUUCUUUUACAGUCUUCUUGUACGAAUCUGUGUGUCAGUCUGUUUUGUGUGGGUGCAUGAUCCUCUAUAAACAUUACUAAAUCUAUGCAAACCUUGUAUAAGUAUCUAUACAGAAUAAAUAAUAAUAUUUUUUUUGUUGCAUGGAUUAAAUCAUACUUACGUUUAGUUUACCCUUUCUUAUACACAUAUUUUCGGCUGAAUGUUGAAUAAAAGUUUGUAGGAUACAAUAAUCAAUCUAAAACCAGCUAGCUAGAUAAUUUUUAAUUAUAUUAAUAUUAAGCAAGCUUGUUUUCUUAACUGUAGAUUUUGAUCAGUUAGUGUAUAAUACUACCGUACUAGUAUAGUCUAAUGUGAAAAAUUUGGCGUCUGGUUUAGUGUUGAUGUUGUUGCAUUCUAUGUUAUUAAUUUGCAAUGAAAAUAACGAUUUUACAAGCAUAAUACGAUAGGGAAAAUAAAGUGGAGAAUAUAAUGGAGAAAACGUUAAACAAAGAUUGACACGGAAAACAAUGCGUGCAUAGAUUAAGUAUGUCCUGACCGGGACCCUCCAACUUUUAUGAUAGUCCCAGAUUUAACGGUAGGGUUAAAAUCAUUUUGAAAUGCUUUUUUGACUCAACCCUUUUUUCUUUUUUUCUUUUACUUAUGACUGUUUUCCUAAAAUUAAACUGUGUAAAAAAAUGUGUAUGCUACUACAUGAUAUAAUACUGUCUUUUUCUCAUCUGUAGUAUCUUAACCAUCUUUUUUAGCAAGUGUUGAGCAAACAAAAUUUACAUAUUGACAUCCAUAAUCCAAAAAGGUUUCAAAUACUACAAAACACAUUACACAUAUGAUAACAUUUCGUAAAUCCUUAUGCUAUUACUCCUAGAUUACGUACGUACUCAACUCCUUUUCUGUCAGAAUCAUUUCCAGCGUUGCUUUCAGCAUCAAAUUCAGAACUUUAAGCAUUAUCGUCAGCAUACACAUGGUGAGAUUCAGUCACAUAUCUUUCUCAUGUAAGAAAAAAUUUAUAACCAGUUAUAAAGUGACAAGUAUUACAAGAGUACUAUCUUAUGAUUUUUUUGUUUAGGUUCUCACUUCUCAGACGAGAACCAAUUUUAUCUCUCUAUUCAGUUUUCAAUUUUCUUAUUUACAUAAGAGACCACCACGUGUCACACUCUCACUGACGCUUCGUUUCUUCAGUCAUAAUUCCUCUCCCCCACCACUCGCUCCCUCUCUUACGUCACUGAUAUAAAAUUGACUUUUCUUCUUAAGACCACAUAAAUCUAUCUAAUGUCGUACUUAGUUCAAUUUGAUGAAUUUGGCGGCAUAUUCAUUCACUUUGGUUAGGGCAGUUGUGAUAAUUACUAUUCUUAAUCACGCCGGGGCAACUAAAGUCUUUUGACAUAGUUUUAUUUUUACGUUUUGUUUAUGAUUUUAGUUUCAUAGGGACAUACUUUUUUUUUUAAUCUCAAAGCUGUUAUGUAUACGCAUCGUUUGGUGGCCACUUGCUAGCGAAAUGUUCCCAGUCUAUUGUUUUGUCAACCAAUAUUACCAAACAUACUAACAUUAAGAUUUUUUUUGUGGUAAAAUUACUAACACUAAGAUGUUAAGUAUAUCUUGUUCGUUUGCUUAGUAAAGUUUUGUUUUUUCCAUUUCCCUUUGAAUAUUUGGUAGUCAGAAGUCUUCUUUUAUGCGGGAGCGUGAUUAAGGUUUUAAUCUUCCAAGUCAACCUUAGCUUUCACGUCAAUUUUGGCUUAGCUAACCGUUUAGACGUGCUCAUCUGGUAAACUGAAACUCCAAUCUAGUUGGACAAAAUUAUUUAUAUAUAGAGAACAUCCUAUAAUUAUUUGGACAAAAUAGACAUAAAAAAAAGUCUAAGCGGGCAAAAAGAUAGCAUACUUCCAAUAAAAUAGUAUUUAACAAUUUGCCACAAACAGAGGCAGCCUAACAACUACUCAUCCUACUUGAUUGGUUGGUGAACAUACUAUACCAGCGCAAGUGGCUUCGGUCUUAUUAAAAUAAUCCAAUUCUAGAAACUUUAACUACUUUCAAACUGGUCUUAUUUUGAUUUUUAAGCUCUGACCAAAACAAAUUAAUACUUAUACAGGUAGUUCUGUAAAAUAACUAUUUUUGUUUGCAUUGAAAAAACAAAAUCAAAGUAGUAUGAAAAACUUCAAUCCAUCAUAAAAAACAAGACCGAUAUGAAACAGUGUAUAUCGAAUAUUAAUAUUGAAUAUCUUACUAUUAAAAAAUUAUAAUAUUUUCUCUUAAAAUAAUGAAUUUUAUAAAUGUUAUAAUAUCAAUAAAAUAAUAGCAUUCUAUUAAAAAAAAAAAAAAUAAUAGCAUUUAAUACCUUUUCAAAUAAUAAAUGUGUACUACCAAAAUAACGAAAAGGAAAGUAAAUGAAACUAUAUAAUAAGAACAAAACUAAGGACAAAAAUAUUUUUAGUAAAUCCGUUACUUAAAAGCUAAAAAUUACUAGAUAUUAAAUUUAAUGUAAAAUGUAUUUAUUAGGGAAAAAAGAAAACAUGUAUUCAUGAUGGCGUGUGAGCGUUAUAUGUAUAUAUAUGAAACAGACAUUUGACGAUUUUCAACCAGUAGACCGGGCCAUCUCUGGCGGGUAAAGUAGAACCACAUAGCAGAACGAAAAGUCUCACUUUCUUGUUCAACGUCUUCCUCGUUUUCCAUCUUCUUCUUCCAGACACCUUCCGUUGCAUCAUUCAAGCCCUCUUCGGUUUUGUUGUUGUUCCUUAUGUUCUUCGGUUUUUAAAUACUCAACCAAUAACACCUGGAUUUAAUAGGCUAUUUAUUGUGUCGCUGAAUCGCUUACUUCUUCUUGAUCAGGUCAGCUUCUACCGGAUAAACUCUUUUAACAUUUUAUUCCUCUAUCCUUUUCCAUUACUUUCAAUUCGGGUUUUGAUUGUUAUUAUUAUUAUUUUUAACAAAUUGGUUCAGUAAAAUGGAUCAAGAAACACAUAUCGUUUCUUUGAUUGAUUACCUUUUUUUUUUUUUUUUUUUACGAUUUCAGACAAGCUACAUAGCCUGGUCUGUCUAAUUUUGUGUUUGUUUAGUACGUCCGUGUUGUUGACCUCCUUCUUCACACGUAAUCCAAUAUAUAUAUUUUUCUGCCGAUCCAAGGAUUCAAAAUGGGGAAGCGUUUGAAAAACGAGAAUACGAGCCAAAGACAUGGCAAAUAUUAUCACAAAUCAGGAUGGUUAACCGGAAUGCUUCAUCUGCUUGAUUUUCACCAUUGGAGAACUAAGAACCGCCCAAUCUGUAAGCCCAUCUCGUAAACUUUUAUACUUAUUUUCUUAAAGUAAAUUUUUGAUUUUAAAUAAAAUUAGUAAAUAUUUUGAAUGAUGGGCUACUCUGUGUUCAUAGGUUGGAAGACUCCAAGAACACAUUCCUUGGUGCAUGAAACUGAUGAACAAGAACCGUUUCUUGAUUCUGAGAAAGGAGAUUCAAAUAUGCUUAGUGUUGUUGCAGAGAAGCCAACGAGAAAACUGAAGAAGACGAUGACAACAAAGCAAGUAACAGAGUACGUUGAUUUUCUUGAAAUCUUGAGAAAACAAGAUGUUUUUGUCAAGAUACUGAAAGAUCCGAAUUCGGAGUUCGGGAAGCAAGUCCAUAUCAAGUCUAAUCCAAGAGUUUUGCCCAAGUCAGGCUCGUUUCCUCUCUCACGCUCUUCACGUCCCGCUAAGAUUGAACACAAGCAGAGGGAGAAUUGGUAUUCCCCAAAACAGAACGGUGCCGUUUUGACUUUGAAUGUUCCAAGAGACACUUCUCAGGAACAACAAAAACCAAUCUUACCUUCUCAUGGCUCACCUGAUGAUCAUGGAUUUAAUCACGCGGUGUUAAGUGGAUUUAGAGAAAUCAAGAAGUUACUCAAGAACGCGCUUAAAGACCGAAAGCACAAGAAGAAGAACAAGUAUGCUUCUGUCUCAAUAGAUGAUUCUGUGGGUAGAUACUCUCAUCUCUUGGAGCAGAGUUUUAGAACAAAAGUUGGUGAAUUACGUUCCAAGAGCUUAAAACUUUCAUAUGAAGAGAAAAAGAGUGAUUCGAGAGAUGAUAAUAAACCACAAUUCUUCAAACGGAUUUCGUCAUUGUCCAGCCUUGAAGUUCUUAGUUCAUUUCUGACCGACCUGCCCCGAGACAGUUCUACUUCCAAUCUAGAAGCUAGGAAAUCUUUAGAUCAAGAUACUAACGUUGUGCCCAAGAAAUCGUUAUUACUAUCUGAAUCUCCGCCAAAAACAGAGAAGGAAGAAAAAGAUGAGGAGCAAGAUGAGAGAAACCAAGAAAAUCAUUUAGACAGCCCAAACAAAAGAGUCCUGCAACAAGAUCCAGAUUCUGUUCCUAGUACCGGUUCCUCCGACAAUACUGCACAAAAGACGGAGACUUUACCCUCACAAGGUAAGCUCUUGAAUGAAACAGUUCAGUACUCUUUGAUAAGGGAAAUAUAUAUAUGCAAAUCUCAUUUCUAUAUAUGCUUGUUCUACAGGUUUAGAUCUAAGUUCUUUUAAGAUUUACAACCAUAAAGAAGAAGAAGAAGAUGAAGAUGCUUGCUUUUGUUUUGUAAAGAAGGUUCUGGAACUUUCAGGUUUCCUCGAAAACGAACACAACGUAGAAAAAUGUCACUCAGAGGAACAACCACUGAACCCAUCACUGCUCUACGAACUCGAUAUACAAGAAGAAGCAGUGAACAGAGAGCUUCUCUUUGAUUUGGUAAACGAAGCAAUCGCUGAGUCUCACAGCCAAUCACACAUCUAUUUCCCUAAAACAUUAGCGUUUGCAUUUCCAAAUGGGAAACGUUUUCUUGAAGAGGUGUGGGGAAGAGUUGAGUGGAGCCUCUCUGGGUUAGGAGCUGAGAAUAGAGAUCGUUCAUUGGACGAUAUUGUGGGAAGAGAUCUUACGAAGGGUGAUGGAUGGAUGAAUCUACGAGCUGAAUCUGAAUGGCUGACUCUUGAGCUUGAAGAUCUGAUUUUUGAUGACGUUUUAGAUGAAUUGCUUAGUGAAUGUUAGUCUUUUGGAAUGUCUCAGUCAGUUUUUUUUUUUAAUAUGUAUACAUGUAUAUAAGUGUUUGAUACAAAUUCAAGAUUUCUAAUUUCUGAGAGGAACAGCUGAUUGGCAAACAUGAUUCCAUGAUUUUGCAUGUUUUUUUUCACCACUCACAAUUUUUUGCUGAAUUAAUCAAUUUUUUACAAUAAACUAUAUCAUGCCAAAAAUAAGAAUCCCAAGUUUUUAGUAACACUGCUAAAUACGUCAUGCGCAAAACAAAAAAAAUAUAACGGGCCUUGCCAAAAAAUAAAUGUAACGAGUUUUUAGUUCCUCUUUUGGGCCGAGCCCAUCACUUUAAACCCUCGACCUCCGUCUUUCUCUUUCUUCACCGACAACCACCACGGCGACAAAUCCCCGAUCGAUCAAUUUCCUCGGCGGGAUACCAUCCUGUGUCUCCUCGUUGCUUAUCUCACUGUAACUCUCUUUUUUAGCUCGCCGGAGAACUGUCGGAGAUAAGUUGAUGUGGCUGAGCCGGGCGGUUCCCGUUCGAUAUUUGGGAUCCUAUCGAAGAACUCAAAAACCGCCAUGGAUGAGAUAUCCUGUUGUCUUCUACUCAGAUUAUACGGAGAAGAAAGAAAAAGUCGCGCCUAUGCAGGUUCGAUUCAUCAUCUAUUCACUUCAUCCACAAACACCCAAAACAAAACCCUCUCUGUUGCUCUUUUUUUUUUCCUAAAGAAUUUGUGAACUCUAAGUUGUGCAGGAGACUAGAAUGAGAGAUAGGUUUACGCUGUACGCAAGAGGCGGUGAAGGUGGCAGUGGUUGUUCCAGCGUCCGCCGGAGCCGUACCGAUCGCUACGGAAAACCUGAUGGUACUAUCCCGAAUUGAUGAUACAGAAAUGUUAUGUACUAUAAUCCAUACUCAUGUUCUAGAUUUUGUAUAGUUAGAACUAGAGUGCUGUUUUAGUGGAUGUAUCUGACAUGGAAAGAAUUUUCGAAGGUUGUAAAACAUGGAUUGUUCGAAGAAUGUUGAUGUUAAUUUAAAUUGAAAUUAGUUCAGGUGGAAAUGGUGGGAGAGGAGGUGAUGUGAUCUUAGAAUGCACACACGCAGUUUGGGAUUUCAGCGGAUUACAACCCCAUGUUGUAAGUUUACGCCUUUUUUUGGUGUGUGGGUCUUUGAAGGAAGAUGCAAUUCGCGUCGAAACCGAUUAUAUUAUCUAACUUUUAUGAGUUUUGCAGAAAGGUGGGAAAGCUGGACAAGGAACUUCCAAGAACAGGAUUGGAAACAGAGGAGAAGACAAGGUUUUGUUUUCUCUCAUUGGCGUUUCUCUGCUUCUUUCUUUUUAUCUUGGGGGAACUAAAAACAUCAUUUCGCAUUUUUGUGUCACACCACAGGUCCUGCAAGUGCCUAUUGGGACGGUUAUUCAUCUUCAAGAGGGUGAGAUUCCAUCUCAGGUUCAAGUUGACUCUCCCAAAGAUUUGGAUCCAUGGGACCUUCCUGGUACACUGGUUGAGGAUCCUGCAUCCGAGGAGAACCCUGAUCUUCAUCAAGAAAUUACGCAACACUCUGUUCAAGUUGAACCUGAGAAAGAAAGUGUAAAAAGACAUGUAGGCACGCCAGAGGAAUUUGAUUUUGAAGACGAUGAAGGAGACAUCGAUCAAGUCAAGUAUAAUGUUGCGGAAUUAACAGAACAAGGUCAGAGAUUAAUCAUUGCUCGUGGUGGUGAAGGCGGUUUGGGUAGUGUUUCCGCAACACGUUAUGUAAGAGGCACCAAGUUCGGUAAAACAGCGAUCCGUCAAAACAAGUUGAGGAGCAUGGAGGACGAAGCUGAUGAUGAGGAUGAUGAUGAUGAUGAUAAUGAACACUCGAGUAUUAAAUCUGGUUCCCUCGGUUCCGAGGCUGUCCUGAUAUUAGAACUCAAGAGCAUUGCUGAUGUUGGACUUGUCGGGAUGCCAAACGCCGGGAAAAGCACGCUUCUUGGUGCGUUAUCACGUGCUAAGCCCCGCGUAGGCCAUUACGCGUUCACGACGCUUCGUCCCAAUUUGGGGAACGUAACCUACGAUGACUUCUCCAUGACGGUAGCGGAUAUUCCGGGGCUCAUAAAAGGAGCUCAUCAGAACCGAGGGCUAGGGCAUAACUUUCUCCGCCACAUCGAACGUACCAAAGUGUUGGCUUACGUUGUGGAUUUAGCAUCGGGGCUAGACGGUUGCAAGGGAGUUACACCGUGGCAACAACUGAGAGAUUUGGUGAUGGAGCUUGAGUUCCAUGAAGAAGGGUUAUCGGAUAGGUCGUCUGUGAUCGUGGCGAAUAAGAUCGAUGAGAAUGGCGCGGAUGAGAGAUUGGAACAACUUGAGAGGAGAGUGAAAGGAGUGAGGAUAUUUCCGGUUUGUGCGGUUCUUGAAGAAGGUGUGGCUGAGCUUAAAGAUGGUUUGAAAAUGCUUGUAAACGAUGAUCGUGAGGGAUCGGAGAGACUAAAAUUGGAGAAUAUCUGUGUUGACUAGUUGAGUUUUACUUGUUGUCAAGUAUCCAAUCAAAUUUUCAGAUUUUAGGUUCUCUUGAAAAAUAGGAGAACAUUUCUUCACUUUUAUUUUAUCUUUGCAAUAUUUAUGAAAAAACACAAACUUUUCUGUUAAGUGAAUGUACACAAAUUCUACUGUCGAAAAAUUAACUUGAAUCAAAAAAGUAAAAACUCAAUGAAAACUGCAAUUAUUCCAAAAACAUUAUCCAUCAGUCCAUCCAUGUCUAUCAGAAUCCGAACAAUAAAAUUGAAAAGAAAUGUCAGUACCACUUUUGAAAAUAUAGGCCAAAUUAUUACGUAAACGAGGGGGCACGUAGGAAGUCUAAAAAGAGUUUUGGAUUUGUGAUGGAAAAAGAGGGCCAAUUAAAGUGAAUUCACCAAUUCAGGACCUUGAAGGGGCAAGAAAAAGCCAACGACCUCACCCUACUUAAUGUGUUCCCUAUUCCUUUUUAUUUUCUUUUAGCCAGAGACUUGACCCAAACAAUAUUGUGUGGUUCUUGCUUCUUCUUUUUUGGCGCUCCUCAACAUCACUAAGGGGAAAAGUUUAUACCUAUCUUACUUUCGGCAUCGGACACAAAAAUAGGCCUUGUUCAGAAGUGAUUCAAAAUACCAUAUCACAAAUCCAUAAACUUCGAUGCCGAUGUGAUCCAAAACUGUCUUUGAGAAAGUUUACGUUAUUUAGAAUUGUCGCUAUUAGUAGCAGGGACUGCAACAUACUUGAUCUGAGGGGAAAAAAACCCCAUAUAUAAGAUCAUGAGGGAAAUACACCAUGGUACACACAAUUGCUAAAAGAAAGUACACUAUAUUCAAUUUUGCACUAGAUAUAAGGGGAAAAAUACCAUGUAUAAAAUCAUGGGUUGCAUUUAUUUUCAACUGUCAGUUAAAUUGAGAUUAAAUCUUGUGGUUUUUACAUGAUAUCAACGUUCUCUUAAUCCAGAUGGAAAUUUAUCCUUUUUUGUUUGUCAACAAACAAAUUUUUAUCAUAAUAUUGAUAAGUAGUAGAAAGAACGUAGACAGUAUCUUGGGUUGUCAAAUGGCUACAUGAGGAUUACUAAAAAGAGGAUACUAACUAUGUACUAAUCUCUUGGUAAUAUAAAAUAAAUUAACAGAAGAUAAUAUAUCUCACUAAAUAAGUUUCCAGGACGUAUAAGAUAACAAUAGUUUACGACUUGGAUAAAGAAAGGAUGUUGUAUUAUAUAUAUUAAGAGUCUUACCAAAAAAAAUAUAUUAAGAGGAGGAACAACAUCCUCGUGAUAAAGACAUUAGCUAUUGUCAAAGACAUAAUAUAUAUUAAGCUUGAGUUCCUCCUCUUAACGGAGGAUAAUAUAUCUCACGAAGUUUGUCUUGACAAAAUUAUUGAUCUAGCAAGUUGCUCCUUGUGAUAAAGACAUUAUAUAUAUAUAUAUAUAUAUAUAUUGUAAUAAAACAAGUAUAUAUUAAGCAGAUGAAAGAGGCAUGCUUUAUGCCUCUUUUUUUGGUCGGCUGCCGUUUACUAAUAAAAUCGUAACUCUUGUAGCGUGUACGACCUUUUCCUUAUUCCAUAAUAAUUUGACGUUCUCCAUUUUACACGAUACUCUAAUUUCUUGCUGAAACUCAAAUAAAAUGUUAAUACAUUCUUGAAGCCAUUAGAACAAUCUAGAUAACCGAAAAUACUGGGCAAGUGAUGUUGUUUACGUAAUUAAGAAAAAGUUGAUGUUAUUCCGAAAAUACUGGGCAAGUGAUGCUCAGCUGCAUUUAUAGAAGAAACCGACAUAUAAUUUAAUGAUUACAUCAUCUAAAACAAAUUUUUAUCUCUUUUAGCCACUUCAUUUAAACAAUUUUUUUUUACACAAUAAUGUUUUAAUUUAAGACAACAGUAAUAAGAUUCUGUAUACAAAUUUUAAGGUUUAAAUUAAAAUAAAUAGCAAUUUUUUUAAUUAACACAAGAUGUGAUGAUCUCUCUGUUGAAAACUUGAAAUGCUCUUUGUGGUAACUUCUUCCAAAAGCAUUUCUAUUGAAAUUAUCCAAACACGAAAUGACACGUGUAUGGUGGAUAGAAAACCGAAUCUUUCUCUCCUCCUAUAAAUAGUGGUCAUUCCCUUUGUUCAAAUCACACAGCACAUAAAGAAGAACAAGAAGAAAAACAAAUUACAAAUUCAAAUCAAAGAGAAGUAAGAGAAGCAAUGGCAGGUUCUAACUGUGGAUGUGGCUCCGCUUGCAAAUGUGGUGACUCUUGCAGGUAACCCUUUAUUCUACCUUCUUUACCUUUACUUGCAUAUACGCAUGUGGUUGCUUUCUCCUUAAUUUUUUUUUGGCUUAAAUUUCAUCUUAUUAAUUACUGAAAUUUCAAAUAUUUGUUUUUUGUUUUUUUGUUUGGUGAAGUUGCGAGAAGAACUACAACACGGAGUGCGACAACUGCAGCUGUGGAUCAAACUGCAGCUGUGGGUCAAACUGUAGCUGUUGAAGGGAUUGUGGUGCAUAUCACAUAUUUGCAGGAAAACUGGGGGAAAAAAUUGUGUUUGAUGUUAAGAGAUUUGUGUGUGUUUGAAUAAUGACUUGGCAUGGUGUUGCGUAAUAACUCUCUUAACCUUGACUUUUUCCUGCUUUGUAUUUUUCUAUGUGUUGAAUGGUGUGAUUGUGUAAUGUUUUAAUUUGUAACCUAAGAACAAAAAAAAAGAAUAUAUAUUGACUAUUGUGAUUAUUAAGAUUUGUCUAUAUCUCCUCUCUCCAUAGUAGAGUAUAGGGUAGGGUUACUCAGCUAAAUGACCCAUGUAAAGUUGUUUAUUUUUAGAUAAAUGACCAAAUGGUAAAGAUACUGUA
rnacentral:lncRNA from 1 species